CUCGGAUCCAUUCAAGAUGAUCUAAAGCGAAAGCAUGUGCCAAGGAUUUUUUCAUUAAUCAAGAACGAAAGUUAAGGGAUCGAAGACGAUUAGAUACCGUCGUAGUCUUAACUAUAAACUAUGCCGACCAGGGAUAUGAGUUGUUAGGAAUAUACGAAAGUAUAUUCAAUUUCUUCUUAUGGACCUUGUGAGAAAUCAUAAGUGUUUGGGUUCUGGGGGGAGUAUGGUCGCAAGGCUGAAACUUAAAGGAAUUGACGGAGGGGCACCACCAGGAGUGGAGCGUGCGGCUUAAUUUGACUCAACACGGGAAAACUUACCAGGUCCAGACAUUAGAAGGAUUGACAGAUUGAUAGCUCUUUCAUGAUUUGAUGGGUGGUGUUUUCAUGGCCGGUAGUAGUUGGUGGAGUGAUUGUCCUGUUA
rnacentral:rRNA from 1 species